rnacentral:misc_RNA from 1 species
UAAGUGCUGUAGAACCCCAG